GGGUCUGUAGCUCUAACUGGAGAGAGCGCUGGACUCCAAAUCCAGGGGUUGGGGGUUCGAAUCCCUCCAGGCCCG
rnacentral:tRNA from 1 species